AGAUGUGGAAUCAGAUUCGUGAGGUUUCUGCUUCCAGUUGCACACUUUCAGCCUCCACCAGCAGGGGGCGCAGUGCCGCCCAAGCAGAGUCAGCUGACCAGCAGAUGCUGGUAUCAGCAGGUAAACCGCAGGCAUCAAGCUGGGAGAUUUGGUUUGUUGUUUUUUUUCCAUUGUGUGAACCUUUCUCUUAGAAUUCAGACUUAGGCACUUUGGAACACCUCAUGGGGGGAUGAUGGCGAGCUGAGCUUCCCCACGCCAUGAAGCAGCAAUUCAUCAGAUUCAACUUGUGCUACUGCCUGAGGAGGUAAAUUGCAUUCCCGGAGAACAGAUGAGGGACACACCACUGCUUCCCCAAAGUUAUCACAGCCACUCUGCUGAGGUGAGAUCAAUACUGCUCACCCUCUGGAAGGUACAGCUUGAGCAGGAUGGCCAUCUGGCUGCUUCCGGUUGAAAACCUCUUCAGCUUGUGUUCCUAAGAGCCUCGGCUGAGAAAUAUCCACGGGAUUUAGAUUGACAGACUGCAGAGUUAGUCACCAGGCGAUGAGUAACUCCAGGAAGAACUGAGGCAAUUUUUAGCCUGGGUUCAGAAAGGCAGUGCGUCCCCAGAACAAAAGGCAUGCUCUGAGGCUGGGAGGAAGGCCAGCCAGCGCUGCGUCCAUCAAAAUGCAGGUGGUCCAGCACCUGCUUGGCCCUCCCUCCUGCAGGGAGCCAGCAUGACCUGCUUCCUCAAGGGAAACCUGUCACAGUGGAGAGAAGAUGGCUCAACUGCUGCUAUGUCUGGAGGAGACUGGCCUAGCAGGGUUCUCUUUAUGCACCAGACCAAAUAUUGAAAGCUGACCCCCACGGGGUGCCCCACAGUUGCCUGGAACUCCAAUUCCAUGGGACCACUCUCU